AUGUGGGUUGAAAAGAAGGGAACCCUGAAAAUCUGGGUUGAAAGGAGGAAGGGACCCCAAAAAUUUGGGUUUAGGAGGAGGAAGGGACCCCAAAUUCUGUAUUGGAAAGGAGGAAGGGACCCCAAAAAUCUGGGUGGGAAAGGAGGAAGGGAUCCCAAAAAUGUGGGUUUAAAAAGGAGGAAGGGACCCCAAAAAUCUGGGUAUAAAAGGAGAAAACCACAAAAGUGUGGGUGUAAAAGGAGGAAAAGACCCCAAAAAUUUGGGUCUAGAAGGAGGAGGGGACCCCAAAAAUUGGGGUUUGGUGGGAGGAAGAAAACCCCAAAAAACGGGUUUGAAAAGGAGGAAGGGACCCCAAAAAUCUGCCCCACGAGGACCACUAAUUGCCCCCCCUUAUUUUUUUUACCCCCCCCCAGUUGAGAAACAGGGGCAGAUGCCCCAGGAGGAGCAAGAUUUG
rnacentral:lncRNA from 1 species